CUCGUAGGCGGCCAACUAAGUCAGACGUGAAAUCCCUCGGCUUAACCGGGGGACUGCGUCUGAUACUGGAUGGCUUGAGAUUGGGAGAGGGAUGCGGAAUUCCAGGUGUAGCGGUGAAAUGCGUAGAUAUCUGGAGGAACACCGGUGGCGAAGGCGGCAUCCUGGACCAACACUGACGCUGAGGAGCGAAAGCCAGGGAGCAAACG
rnacentral:rRNA from 1 species